CAGAAAUGGGGGUUCCUUCCAGCCCAAAACAUGGUACUUAAUAAUCUUAUACUUAAACCUCUCUGUUUUGGACUGAAGGGAGCUCCUAAUUCUU
rnacentral:pre_miRNA from 1 species